UGCCAGACUCCUACGGGAGGCAGCAGUGGGGAAUAUUGCACAAUGGGGGAAACCCUGAUGCAGCGACGCCGCGUGAGCGAUGAAGUAUUUCGGUAUGUAAAGCUCUAUCAGCAGGGAAGAAAAUGACGGUACCUGACUAAGAAGCCCCGGCUAACUACGUGCCAGCAGCCGCGGUAAUACGUAGGGGGCAAGCGUUAUCCGGAUUUACUGGGUGUAAAGGGAGCGUAGACGGCUGUGCAAGCCAGAUGUGAAAGCCCGGGGCUCAACCCCGGGACUGCAUUUGGAACUGUGUGGCUGGAGUGUCGGAGAGGCAGGCGGAAUUCCUAGUGUAGUGGUGAAAUGCGUAGAUAUUAGGAGGAACACCAGUGGCGAAGGCGGCCUGCUGGACGAUGACUGACGUUGAGGCUCGAAGGCGUGGGGAGCAAACAGGAUUAGAUACCCCCGUA
rnacentral:rRNA from 1 species